CCAUCGGCCCUUUUUAGGGCCAUCAAAUUGGAGGAAAAGAGUUUAA
rfam:Aedes aegypti strain Liverpool supercont1.217 genomic scaffold, whole genome shotgun sequence.